UGGAGCAAACAGGAUUAGAUACCCUGGUAGUCCACGCCGUAAACGAUGUCAACUAGUUGUUCGUCUUAUAAACAAGGUGAGUAACGCAGCUAACGCACUAAGUUGACCGCCUGGGGAGUACGGCCGCAAGGUUAAAACUCAAAUGAAUUGACGGGGGCCCGCACAAGCGGUGGAGCAUGUGGUUUAAUUCGAUGCAACGCGAAGGACCUUACCAUCCCUUGACAUCCAGAGAAUUUUCUAGAGAUAGAUUAGUGCCUUCGGGAACUCUGAGACAGGUGCUGCAUGGCUGUCGUCAGCUCGUGUUGUGAGAUGUUGGGUUAAGUCCCGCAACGAGCGCAACCCUUAUCCUUAGUUGCCAGCACGUAAUGGUGGGAACUCUGGGGAGACUGCCGGUGAUAAACCGGAGGAAGGUGGGGACAACGUCAAGUCAUCAUGGCCCUUACGGGAUGGGCUACACACGUGCUACAAUGGCGCGUACAAUGGGAAGCUAACUCGCGAGAGUGUGCGGAUCUCAAAAAGCGCGUCGUAGUCCGGAUUGGAGUCUGCAACUCGACUCCAUGAAGUCGGAAUCGCUAGUAAUCGUGGAUCAGAAUGCCACGGUGAAUACGUUCCCGGGCCUUGUACACACCGCCCGUCACAUGGAGCAAACAGGAUUAGAUACA
rnacentral:rRNA from 1 species